AUUGAACGCUGGCGGCAGGCCUAACACAUGCAAGUCGAACGAGUGGCGGACGGGUGAGUAAUGUCUGGGAAAAUGCCUGAUGGAGGGGGAUAACUACUGGAAACGGUAGCUAAUACCGCAUAACAUCAGAUGUGCCCAGAUGGGAUUAGCUAGUUGGUGGUGUAACGGCUCACCAAGGCGACGAACCCUAGCUGGUCUGAGAGGAUGACCAGCAAGAUGGGAACUGAGACACGGUCAGGACUCCUACGUGAGGCAGCAGUGGGGAUUAUUGCACAAUGGGCGCAAGCCUGAUGCAGCCAGUCCGCGUGUAUGAAGAAGUCCUUCGGGUUGUAAAGUACUUUCAGCGGGGAGGCGUUACCCGAAGAAGAAGCACCGGCUAACUCCGUGCCAGCAGCCGCGGUAAUUC
rnacentral:rRNA from 1 species